CUUGGAUCAGAGCUUCGAUAAGAUGGCGCCUGUAUCAAAUUGGGUGUUCUUGAUCCUAAUUUUCCCUCUGCUGCUGAAUCUUGGCUUCUCCAAAACCCUCAAACGCGACGUCAAGGCUUUGAAUGAGAUUAAGGCAUCACUCGGGUGGAGAGUCGUCUACGCUUGGGUCGGCGAUGAUCCUUGCGGUGAUGGCGAUCUUCCUCCUUGGUCCGGCGUCACUUGCUCAACUCAAGGAGAUUAUAGAGUUGUAACUGAAUUGGAAGUUUAUGCUGUGUCAAUUGUUGGGCCUUUUCCUACUGCUGUUACCAAUCUCUUGGAUCUUACUAGGCUAGAUCUGCAUAACAACAAACUGACAGGGCCUAUUCCUUCCCAAAUUGGGCGCUUGAAGCGUCUGAAGAUACUUAAUUUGAGGUGGAAUAAACUGCAAGAUGUCAUUCCUCCUGAAAUUGGUGAACUCAAGA
rnacentral:misc_RNA from 1 species